rnacentral:rRNA from 1 species
AAGUCGUAACAAGGUUUCCGUAGGUGAACCUGCGGAAGGAUCAUUACCGAGAGCCCCCUCCCCGUGCCGCAAGGUUCGGGCGACGGCUUUUCUCACACCCUUUUUUAUGCGCACCUCUUGCUCUUCCUCGGCGGGGCGACCCGCCGACGGAACGCAUCCAACCCUUGUGCAUGCAGUAUUACUUGUUCUGAUACCCUAAAUCGUUACAACUUUCAACAAUGGAUCUCUUGGCUCUGGCAUCGAUGAAGAACGCAGCGAAAUGCGAUAAGUAGUGUGAAUUGCAGAAUUCAGUGAAUCAUCGAAUCUUUGAACGCACAUUGCGCCCCUCGGUAUUCCGUGGGGCAUGCCUGUUCGAGCGUCAUCUACACCCUCAAGCACUGCUUGGUGAUGGGCGUCUGUCCCGCCUUCGCGCGCGGACUCGCCCCAAAGGCAUUGGCAGCGGUCCCGAUCGCCCUCUCGCGCAGCACAUUUGCGCUUCUCGAGGCGGCGGGUUCGCGUCCACGAAGCCCUUUUUUACCACUUUUGACCUCGGAUCAGGUAGGGAUACCCGCUGAACUUAAGCAUAUCAAUAAGCGGAGGAAAAGAAACCAACAGGGAUUGCCCUAGUAACGGCGAGUGAAGCGGCAACAGCUCAAAUUUGAAAUCUGGCCCUCUUUGGGGGUCCGAGUUGUAAUUUGCAGAGGGUGCUUUGGCAAUGGCGGCGGUCUAAGUUCCCUGGAACAGGACAUCGCAGAGGGUGAGAAUCCCGUACGUGGGCGCCUGCCUUUGCCGUGUAAAGCCCCUUCGACGAGUCGAGUUGUUUGGGAAUGCAGCUCUAAAUGGGAGGUAAAUUUCUUCUAAAGCUAAAUACCGGCCAGAGACCGAUAGCGCACAAGUAGAGUGAUCGAAAGAUGAAAAGUACUUUGGAAAGAGAGUCAAAUAGCACGUGAAAUUGUUGAAAGGGAAGCGCUUGCAGCCAGACUUGCCCGCAGUUGCUCACCCAGGCUCUCGCCUGGGGCACUCUUCUGCGGGCAGGCCAGCAUCAGUUUGGGCGGUUGGAUAAAGGCCUCUGUCACGUAUCUUCCUUCGGGAUGACCUUAUAGGGGAGGCGCAAUGCAACCAGCCCGGACUGAGGUCCGCGCAUCUGCUAGGAUGCUGGCGUAAUGGCUGUAAGCGGCC